rnacentral:rRNA from 1 species
UGCUUGCAAACCAAAGCUGGCGACCGGCGCACGGGUGAGUAACACGUAUCCAACCUGCCUCAUACUCGGGGAUAGCCUUUCGAAAGAAAGAUUAAUAUCCGAUAGCAUAUAUUUCCCGCAUGGGUUUUAUAUUAAAGAAAUUCGGUAUGAGAUGGGGAUGCGUUCCAUUAGUUUGUUGGCGGGGUAACGGCCCACCAAGACUACGAUGGAUAGGGGUUCUGAGAGGAAGGUCCCCCACAUUGGAACUGAGACACGGUCCAAACUCCUACGGGAGGCAGCAGUGAGGAAUAUUGGUCAAUGGACGCGAGUCUGAACCAGCCAAGUAGCGUGAAGGAUGACUGCCCUAUGGGUUGUAAACUUCUUUUAUAUGGGAAUAAAGUGGUCCACGUGUGGAUUUUUUGUAUGUACCAUAUGAAUAAGGAUCGGCUAACUCCGUGCCAGCAGCCGCGGUAAUACGGAGGAUCCGAGCGUUAUCCGGAUUUAUUGGGUUUAAAGGGAGCGUAGGCGGAUUGUUAAGUCAGUUGUGAAAGUUUGCGGCUCAACCGUAAAAUUGCAG